rnacentral:tmRNA from 1 species
GGGGAUGUUUUGGUUUUGACAGCACUGAUCCGGGAAGGUAAGCACGCCGGGCUUUCGAAGGCUGGCCCGUUAAUCUCAACCGACAAAAAAUUAGCUGGCAACAGCAACUAUGCACUCGCUGCCUAAUCUGCCAAGCGGAUUAGCUUAAUCGGGGCGCCCAGGUGCGUCGCCGACGAGUAUCCCUCCGACUUUAGGGCUUCUAUGCGCGGAUUCAGGGGUAUCAUUCAAGAAGCCUGCACGCGGGGACUCCCUUAAACCGCGCCAAGAUUCAGGGGAUAAGUUGGGUCUUGCCCGUCUUCCGGCCGGGCCCCGCCGACAAUCAAAGGAAGAAUAAGCGUGUAGAAAGCCCUCUGGGACUUUGUUUGGACGGCGGUUCGAGUCCGCCCAUCUCCACU